rnacentral:lncRNA from 1 species
CUUAUUCAGAAAGGCUUUGCAGUUUUCAUAGCACUUUUAGACAUAUUGUAUUUGACCCUCAUGGCAACUUGAUGAGGCAGAAAAAAAGUAAGUAUUAUUAUCUACAUUUUAUAGGUAAGGAAACAGGUUAAGAGUGGUUACAUGAUUUAACCAAAGUAACCUGGCAUAUACAGAGCACAGCAGAGAUCAAAAGUCAGUUUACCUGGAUUCCUGUCUCCUGCUUUUAUCUACUGUCUUAGACUAUAAUAGCAAGUCACCAAAAACAACAACAACAACAACAACAACAACAACAACAACAACAACAACAAAAGCUAUGUGCUAUUAUGGUCUGAAUGUGUACCCUCAACAUUCACAUGGCAAAAUCCUAACUCCCAAAGAUCAUUGGGAGGAGGAAAUUUGGGGAGAUGCUUAGGUCAUACAAAUGGAGCCCUCAUGAAUGGGAUUGGUGCCUUAUAAACGAGGCUCCAGAGAGAUCCCUAGCCCCUCCCACCACGUGAGGAUACAGCAAGAAGGCACUAGCUAUGAACCAGGAGGAGGGCCUCCAGCAGAACAUGAUCCUGUUGGUGACAUGUUCUUAGACUUCCCAGAACAGUGAGAAAUAAAUGUGUAUUGUUUACAAGCUGCCUGGUCUGUAGUGUUUUGUUACAGCAGCCUGUAAGAUUAAGACAUUAUGUUUCAAGUGUGUGGCUUUACUAUUUGCUUUGUGGUAGGAAGAAUGCAGAAUCUUUCUUAUGCAUUUUCCUAGUAUUGUAGAGACAGAGGGAUCUCUGAGACUUUAUCUGUUUUAUCCUCCUGUAUCAAAGCAGGAUUUCACAUAGGUCAUAUCUGGCAGACCAGGCAUCUAUUUGAAGAUAGAGUGUUUUUAAAAUCCUCAAGGAAUGUAAUUUCAACCAACUUCAUCCACAAUAUAUUUUUUUACAAAAUAAUUUGACCAAAUUGCUAAGUCUUUUAUACUCUGCCUAAUAUUUUAUGGAAUUUGUAGAAAACUAAGAUUUCUUUUGUAUUCUCAUUCAGAACAAUCCAGCUAUUCUAAAAGUGAUAAGUAUGUUUAAGCAUCAAUAUAUAUUUUGUUUUAAAAUACCAAAACUAAAUGGUGGCUUACAUACUUAUAAAGGGCCCAGAUUAACCUAUUCCUAUUAGCAAGUGACUUGAGCCAAUAAAUGCCCUUAACUUUUUAGUCAUUCUGACACUAAGUGCCUGGUUUAAAUGCAGCAUAUGCAGUGUGUGUGUGUGUGUGUGUGUGUGUGUGUGUGUGUGUGUGUGUGUAUGUGCAUGUAGCAGGCAGCAGAUGUUGGCCCUUUCAUGAGGCAGAGACAAUAGAGAGAGGGAGGAGGUCUUUCUCUGGCCACACAGACCACAGACAUGUGGCAUUACUGUGGCCAGCCUAGCAAGAGAUAGUCAAUGAUACACUGGCAGGAUCCAAGGGGAUUGGGAAUGCGUCCCACUGCUCUAAGGAGUCCUCUUCUUCACUUGCCCAGUGGUCCAGUCACAUAAAAGACUCAGAAAACCCAAGCUUUGAAAUUAAGGCUCCUAGGAGCUAGUAGAUCAGGCCACCAUGACCUAGAGACAGAAAAACCUAUGCCAGUCAGUCAUAGCCCUAUUGAUGCCUAAGGAUACCCUGUGCCUUCAGAUUGAGCAGCUGUUCCUUUACUGUGAUGUCCCCAUUAUUGACAGAUUACAUUUCAGAGAAGUGCCACCCACCCUAAUAGAAAGCUGCCAGCUCCAGCCCCUGUCACACAUUAGUCCUUAGCUACCAGAAGGGGAAGUAUGGUGCUCAAAGUGUCUGGCUGACUGGUCCUGCGUUAGAGAUGAACAGUCACAGUCUGAGGGGCUAAUGGCAGGUACAAAGACCAGAUUCUAGGCCAUUUUGUCAACUUACUGCCUUGUCCUAACCCCUGGCUCCUUUCUUGGGAUAUCAAUAACCUAAGAGACCACUGCCAUUAAACUGGGCACGGCGAGAAACUGGUGCUUUCCGUUACUUGAUGUCUAUAUUUUCCUUUGUUUCCAGGCUUUUAUCAGCCAGAGUCUGAUAAAAAAAAGUCUGCAAACGCAGGAUUUCUCUUGAUCUCAACUAUCUGCCACCAUCAUUGUCUACCUGUCUUGCUGAGUACUGAAUUCCCCUUGCUCUAAUAUCAAGCAAUUCUUAGGUAAGUUCAUUUAGCAAUAAACCCAAGGGGUUGGCCCCAUGUUGCAAAUAUGAUUACACAUAAUGCGGAAUUUACAUUUUAUGUCCUUAUCUCUCUCCAAACUCAAGAACAAGAUGUUCUACAAGUGUAUGGACACCAACUCAGAGAAGAAGGCCAUCAAGCUUUUCAUUCCCCCUAUAAGGGUCCCAGAUCUUUCUAAAAAAUAGGUACUCUACUUCUGCCAGGAAACCCCAGUGAUCCAUGUGAAUAUUACCUGUCUAAGAACAUUAUCAGUGCCCAAUGAUCCAGAGGCUCCAAAAAGACAGUCUUUACAAAAUGAGAUGUCCAGGACACCUACAACCCUAUCGAUAUCUGAUGAUAAGUAAAAGGUGACCUUUCAACUUUACCACAACCCAGCUUUCACUGAAAAACAUCUUAAACAUCUUAACCUCCUGAAACUAAGGAGACAUGACCUGAUGAUAUGCCAACAUGCUCGGUCUAGCUGACAUUUCAUGAUCCAGAGACUUUAUCAACUACCCAAUGCUACCACCUCCAGGUCAAUUCUAAGAUAUGUGUAUUUGAAAACACUGAGGUGGUGUUCUGGAAUAAAAUCUGUCCACCAGAAGGUUCCCAGAAGGGAGUUCUGCCCCAGAUGUCAUUAGGGCAACCCGACACCGAGCCACUCCAGGUUACAUGGGUCUCUGUCUUUGGCCACUUAUUCUCUACUGUUUUUGUAUAUUUUUCUCUAGUAAUUUUGUUUUCUGGUGUGGCCCAAAGGCCACUGCUGCAUCCCGGGAAAGGAAGACCUUAUUUUUCUUUACUCCAAACAUCAUGCACUCUCCAAUAUGGCGAGUAGGUCUAGAAAGGUUUAGUACCAGGAGCCUCUAUUUCCACUUGAGUUGGUAUUCUUCUGGAUGUCUGACUCCUGAAAAUCUCAUAUUGCCUCUUAGCUUAUCCCAUUACAGGCUAUUAGACUAUAGCAGGUGACAUUGUUCUGGAAUCCUGGGGUGGGGGAGGAUGUCAUCAUUUUUCAAGCACUUUUCCUUUUCCAUUUCACAAGUAUCAGGUACGUCAAAAUAGUAGAUAAAAGCCCUACAUUAGAAACAAGAAUAUGAGAGAUUUCAUCUCCACCAACCUGUUACUGCCACCCCUGCUUGCUGAAGAGAUUUCCUGCUUCUGUGGACUGUUGUGCUACAGAAAAUUCAACUGCAGCUCCUGGAAGGUCUCGAAACUCAUAAGAGAACUGUUCAAUAUUGUCCAAGUUUUGAUUUACCCAUCCUAAGGCUAACAAUCAAUUAUUAUAAAUUGGAUCCUUGAAGAAUAACUGCCCAGUUCCCACUGCCCAGUUCCCACACAUAGCAAACCCAGCCACAUCCUUGGCUUAUGUAACUCACCACACUCUUCAACCCACAGCACUCCUUUUAACAGCAACUAGAGCUUCCAGCCAUAUGAACCCUCCCUUUCCUCAUAUUACAUUCAGUAGGAAACAACGUGUCCUUAGAAUGACCCUUAGGAAAUCCAUGGGUAAGCCGAGGAGUGGGAUCAUCAUUUAACAGAAGUUCCUGGAUACGCUGUUUCAUGGGAGGCAGUCUGGCUUUUCUCUAAACCCAUACAUACCACUAAGCCCCAGAAAGAAGCUGGGGAGGGAUAUAUGUGGUUUUUCACUAAUGCUUUUGGUCUUCCAAGUACAAUUUCCUUUUUCCCUGAACAUCCUCCUCGUAUUCUGCUUACCAUACUCUACUUAACAAAGGGAGUACUCAGGAAGAAAGCACCAGUGUCUCAGUCCAUUCAAGCUGCCGGCACAAAGCUCUAUAGACUGGGUGGCUUAUAAACGAUAGAAAUUUCUGUCUCACGGUUCUGGAGGCUGGAAGUCUGAGAUUGGGGUGCCAGCAUGGUCCAGUGCUAGUGAGAGCCCUCUUCUGGGUCUCAGAUGGUAUCUUCACACAGCAGACAGCAGAAGGAAGCAAGAUUCAGUAAUUGUUAUAAGGGCACUAAUUCCAAUCGGGGAGGCUCCACCCUCAUGAUAUCAUCUAAUCCCAAUUACCACCCAAAGGCCCACCUCCAAACACCAUCACAUAGUGUGUGUGUGUGUGUGGGGGGGGUGCUUAACAUAUAAAUUUGGGGGGACACAAAUAUUUAGUCUAUAACACCAAGAUCCACCGUACACUGAGAUGUGUUGGCCAGCUUGAAUAGGAGUUUAACUCUACGUCACAUCAUUCCUCAUCAGGUCUUAACUCUGAGUGUAUCAGGAAAACCCCAGCCCAUUUAUACCUUCAAGCUAGUUCAGUACUCUCAACAACUAUAAUAUUUUACCUCCUAUUUGCCCUAAACUUAUCUUAUUUCUGUAACAUAGAGAAGAUAGUUUCACCUGUUUUCAAUGUGUUCCCUGACACUGAAAAUGUAGUCUCAAUCUCAUUUUUAAAUAUAUUAACUAGGGUUAUGUAUUUCAUAACUGAUAGUAUCUAGUUUAAAAGGUAGCUUUCUCUCUAUAGAGGAAAUUUUCUUGAUUUGGGUCUUCAAUCGGGCUACCCAUUAUCAGUUCAUAAGAUCCAUGACUACUUUUCCAGAAAGUUUAAGUAGACUCUUAGAGGAGCAGAAUGAAUAUCAGAUAUUGACACAUUCAUGAUUUAAGGCACUGGCAAUGAGAGGUAUAUAAAUCAUUGUAUUAAUAUGUGAAAAACAACUUUGAGUGAAUCAUAAAUUCUUUCUAUCCUGAAGCCCAGAACAGUCUGGCACUAGGGGGAAAAAGUCAGAGAUUCCUCUUUCCCUUCUUCCCAUAAUUUUCUUGCAAAUAGCGUAUUCACUGAAACGUAUUCCAGUAUUUCUUGAGAGCUCAGUUACUAAGAUGGAAUCUUAGAAGGAGAAGUAGGCUAUACGAUUAAAAUAUUAAUUGAUAGUUACCGUAAUAUUCCUUCCAAGAAAUAAUCUCUUUCUCAUGUUCAAAAAUAAAACUAGAAAAGCUUAUUAUUUCAGUUAACCAAAUUCAAAUAGUUUCUGGACAGUUAAAUAUGGCAUUUUGUAGGCCAUAAAAAGAAGCAACAUACUGUUUCUGAUCUUAAAAGAACACAAAUCUGGUCAGAAAAACAGUAAAAGUAUACAUAUGCUAAAAUACAGUAAAUUUUUUUUUUUAAAUUUUUUUCUUUCAACGUUUUUUAUUUAUUUUUGGGACAGAGAGAGACAGAGCAUGAACGGGGGAGGGGCAGAGAGAGAGGGAGACACAGAAUCGGAAACAGGAUCCAGGCUCCGAGCCAUCAGCCCAGAGCCCGACGCGGGGCUCGAACUCACAGACCGUGAGAUCGUGACCUGGCUGAAGUCGGACGCUUAACCAACUGCGCCACCCAGGCGCCCCUACAGUAAAUUUUUUAAAAUACAGGAUCACAUUCUUUUGAGACCAACAAAAAGGAUUUUAAGCUUCAUGGAGAUGGAAACUUCAAAUCAGGUCUUGAGAAAUUAGGUAAGAUUUCCAGAAGUUGCUCUCUGGAAAGGAUUUAAGUAAAUCUGGGGGAAAUAAGUAAAUUCUGUGAUUAAUUAUGUGUCAACAGCUGAACUUAGAGGUUCCAAAAUGAGAGAACAAUUAGAUUGUUGCAUAUAACAAAUAAAUAAAUAAAUAAAUAAAUAAAUAAAUAAAUAAAUAAAUAGUAUAUGCACAAGUAAUAAGUAAUUUUUUUACACAAGUAAAAGUGAAACUUUUCGGCUGUUUCAUUCUGGAAGGCUGUUGCCCUCCACAAGAACACUUGAUGUUACCCUCUGGCAAGAUACAGCUGGAACUCUGAAGUUGAGUGUCAGUGGUUUAAAUUAAGAAACAGCUUGUGAUAUUAAAAUUAAGACACUUUUGAAUAAAGCAACAAGACAUAUCACAAACUUCACAGAGAUAUAGAGCCUUUCAUAUAGUUCAGCAAAUACAGGAACAGGAUUCUCUUUAUUUAUUAAUUUGAUAUGCAUUCAUUAGGUACCAACUGUCUACCCCAUAUUGCACUAAUUACCAGGAAGAUGUAAAAGAAAGCAUGGAAAUAGUCCUUUCCCAACAGGUUGCCUAAUAUCUAAGAGGUGAAAUAAAAUGUGUAAAAAUAAAGUGGAAAGAAAUUUCUGGACAAAAUAUGAGGAAUUGAGAAAUGCAAAUGCUACCUACAGUUUUUCUCUCUCCCAGGGGGCUCACAGCACAUCAUAAUUACCUGGCAGAAAGUAUCAUUCUCAUAAGCAUUUUGCAAUGUGAUUGGCAAGGGAUGCAGAGAAUCUAAGCGAUCUGCAUAAAAACCUCGUGAGCUGAGUGGGAGAACUAGAAAUUAGUUUUCUAUAUAGUACAUUGCAAGGAAUACUGGUAGGUCCAGAGUCAGAAGUCCUCAAGGUUAUUUUUCCCUGUACUUUUGAGGCAUCAGGUGAUUCCAGGAAAGUUAUUUCACUUCUCUGAAAUAAGGUUUCUCCAUCUGGGGGUGAUAUCCUGGGAUAUCUACCUUGCCUAUCUCACAGGGCUUCUAUGUGAAUGGAAUGAGUUGGGGUGGGGGGAGGUGAGAAUUUUAAAGAGCUGUGCAAUGCACAAAACAUUUUAUAAGUAUAUUGUAGGAUAUCUUUAUGAUUGAUCGAUUGAUUGUGAGCCUAUGUGCAGUGUCUGUGAAAGGCGUGUUCUCAAAAAACUGAUGGUACAGAGGAGAAAUCUGCUAUUCCAGUUGCUAAACGUUCCAAUAGGCACAGUGUUACACUUUGGGUGGCAGAAGAAGUGAGAAGAAGAGCUGAAAAGUAGAUUAAAAAAAACAGCCUCAGGUGCCCAGGCACAAAUGCUAGAGGAUAAUAGAGACAGCUGUGGAAGUGUCUAGAUUACAGAGGAUCCGGGCAGCCCCGCUACAUCUCUCUCAGCUACAAAAAAAAAGCACUGAAGUCUUUCCAAUCCCCCAAGAUGGGCUCAUAAAUUAACUGAAAAAGAGAGAAAGCCAGCUGGCCCAAACAUGACUCCCUGGUUGUCACAGAGAAGUACCACAAGAGAAAGCAGCAAAGACCAUAACAUCGGGGACAGUAUAGAAACACGGGAAUCUGGCUGCUUGAUGAACACCAGCAAGGGGCGGUGAUCAUGCCCCAAGACCUGCCCCGGCACAGACAGACACCGCUGAAUGGCCCAUGAACUUUCAGACAAUGCCAUACAACUAAGUAAUUCCCUAGAAAUUUUGAUGCCAGGAGAAGUGAGGUGAAAAGUAAAGAAGGGCAAAUCACGACCAACUGAGUUUUGAUGUGAAAUGACUAAGAAAAACACAAAGUGACUGGGGUCAUCUAGAACUAACUAGAAGCAUUUUCCACCAUCAGGAGUAUAGAAAACCUGACAUGGAAGUUACGGUCUGUAUACAAAAACAAGGUUGUAUCUUUGGGGACCACUCCAUAUUGGAGACUGAAAACAUCAUAUCUGCUAUAGGAUUUUAUUCUGCAGAUAAUGAAACAUUUUAAGGUAUAGAAACAUUUUAAGCAGAAGAGUGACAUAAUCAGAUCAAUCUAUCAUAAAGAAAGGUGUGGGAGAAUGCUGACAGAAAGGAACCGAAUGGCGGAAGCAAACUAUACAGCCGCCCCUGGUAGUCUAGCUCAGUGAUCCUUAAAUUUUAACGUGCACACAAAUCACCUAGGGGGCAUGUUAAAAUGCAAAUUUGGAUUUUUCCCGGUGCUGAGGGAGUCACUGCAUUCUCGGUUUCUUUUAAAAAAUUUUUUUAAUGUUUAUUUAUUUUUGAGAGAGAGAGAGAGAUAGAGUGUGAGCCAGGGAGGGGCAGAGAGAGAGGGAGACACAGAAUCCGAAGCAGGCUCCAGGCUCUGAGCUGUCAGCACAGAGCUUGGCGUGGGGCUUGAACUCACAAACUGCAAGAUCAUGACCUGAGCCGAAGUCGGACGCUUAACCGACUGAGCCACCCAGGUGCCCGUGCAUUCUCAGUUUCUGACAAACGCCCAGGUGAGGCUGAUGCUCCUGUCCAUGGAGCAUGUUUUCGGUGGCAAGGUGACCGACGCCUGAACUAGGCGGUGACAGUGGAAAAGCAGAAGAAAAGACAUGGCUGAGAAGUGGUCAGGAAGUAAAAAUGGCAAGACUCAGUGACUGAUUAGGGAAAGAGGAAACAUUCAUGAUGACUCCAAGAUUUUCAGGCCUGGACAAUAGGGUGGAUCAUAGUGCCAUUAACUGAGCCUUUGGUAAAUAAAGGUUUAUGCAGAAACACCGCAAGACCUUUGUGCAUAUGUCUUUUAUAAAUAUUUAUUUUUACCAAGUUACUGAGAAAUACCCCUACUGUGUGAGAUUGCUUUUUGAGUAGUUUCAGAUUGGGAUCCAUCUGUCUUUACUUCGUGGGUUUGGGCUGCUUUGUUUUCAUUGCACAUUGUUAAUGGUUUGCCCCGAAUAAACUGAAAAUAUACCAUUAGGGAGAUCAGCAGACACGGAGCCUAAAAGCACCCUAGUGCUGCAUGGUCAGGAGUCAUUAGAGGUGCAGCAGAAAGUCUAGAGUGGUCCAUGUGGUUGCCAAAAAGCAUCCAUGGAGAUGAACUAUUGGAAAUGGCCGUGCAAUUUUAGCUCUCCUUUCAGAUUCUUAGUGAGGCGAGGCCAGAUUAGAUUCAAGCCCUAGUCUGUGCUCUAUGUGCAUGUUUGGAAGGAGGGGGGCACGAAGGAGAGAGGAGAAGUGGGGCGGGAAGGGUAGCAUUGUGCUUCUGUGAACUGGUUUCCUUAAUGCAAGGAGGUAGCACUUACAGCAGCAGUUCAUGGCUUCCCCAGGAAACCAUUCUAAGUGGGCCACGUGCCCAAUGGUUUCUAUCCCAGUUAAGUAAAUAAAUGAAAUAUGCUAAUUAGCACCCUAUUAGCUCACAGCAGGGAGUAAUCCAUGGCAUUUUGAUUGGAAAGAAUUCUGUCAUCCAAAAGACUGGUCUGUAACAGAACGCAAACCGGCCCAAUUUCCUCCCUCCCUUCCUGCUUCCUCGUGGCAGUUGUCCAAAUGUCUGAGAAGCAGACCUCACAACUGUGUGCAAUUCCAAGGGUGUCACCGCGCUCCGGGAAAGCACCUCCUGGCCUCCACGGAAUCUGGCACUGUGCCGGGCUCUGAGAACAGAUUUAUACGAUCCAGAAAUGUGGACCAGAGCUCAGAAAUAUCGUGUAGGUUUGGGGGGGCCUUUAGGGGGCAGCUCUUAUUUCUUUCAUUAUGAGAGUAACCCCAUUUUUAUUCUCUGGCCCUCCCCGACUCCAAUCCAGAAUGCAUUUCCUUAACUCAGGUACACAGGCACGCUGCCACGGAGUGGUUCAGCUGAAGGAGGCCUUCUGAUUAAAAUGGUAGAGCUGUGGGGUCUUAGUUGGGGAAAGGCAAGCUCAGGUAGGGUCACCUCUUUAUAUUGUUAUUGUUUCAGCUGCAGGGGAAUUCCAUCUAGCUCCCGUUUUCCUAUUCCUAUUUAAAUGCCUAGAUUUACAUCUUGCCUAUCUCCUACCACUUUGCCGAAGGAGGGAUUUAGGGGCAGGAUGGACACUGAAGGAAAAAGCUCAGUACAAAAAACAGCAUGUUUUCCAAUUUGCUCUUUUAAAACAUCCACUUUUCCAAGGGCUCUGGGUGUUUAAAGGGAUUAGAUAUUAUGACACAUCUGUCAGGUUGUCUCAGAAUUUAUCAGAAAUCCCCAUCAGAGUGGGAUUUAGGCAAUGAAGCUUACUUAUAUCAUGGCCAGGCUUCUAAUGCUUUUCUGUUCUUGAUACCAAAAGUUACAGGGAUAACCUUGUGUUCACUGAUGGCUGCUUAAUAAAACGGGUGGGGUGGGGAGAUAGGAUUUUUAAUCAUCUGAAUGUUACAGAAGUAAGUUGCCAGUGUUUUUUUUUUUUUUUUUUCCCUCAAGUUCGGUCCUUUGUAUGAUGACCUACAAAAGCCAAAUAGAAAUUGUAUGCCUAUGACAAGCCUCAGGAAAACACUCAUCUCUGCAUGCUCUUAUGUUUCCUUCCUGGUAAGAAAGUGAUUAUACUGACUUAAAGUUUAAAAUUUUUAAUGGAAUGUAUGUGUUGGCUUCAAAUACAUCACUCUUUUUUCUUUCCCCCAUACUAGUUUUUCUUGUACCUAGGAAGAGAAUCUAUUUAUCUUGGUAAGAUAUAAAUUCAAAUCGAAUGCUGAAUACCAGCUGUUGUAUCAGCCACAUUUUGAAAUUCAACUUUAAAUGAAAUCUUGAAGAAAGCAAGUCCAAGAAAAACCUCACAGUAAAAUAUGUGUCUCAGUCACUACCAUUACCACAUUGAUCGCCAUACCUGAAGAAAUCGUUAGGCAUCCUAUGACACUAAUGUAUAUUUAGAAUGUUUUUUUUUUAAUCCUGUAUUGGAAAAUAAAGCACAUUACCUAAAUGAUUCAAAUGGAAAAAAAAAUCAUUCUUAAAAGCCAUCUGUGAAUUAGCAUAUGGGCUUCUGGAACCCAACAUCUUGGUUCUAUAUGUGAGUCAGAAGGAAAAAAAAAAAAAAAAAGAAGAAGAAAGGAAAGAA